UGGGGAAUCUUGCGCAAUGGGCGAAAGCCUGACGCAGCAACGCCGCGUGCGGGAUGAAGGCCCUCGGGUUGUAAACCGCUUUCAGUGGGGACGAACCAAGACGGUACCCACAGAAGAAGCCCCGGCCAACUACGUGCCAGCAGCCGCGGUAACACGUAGGGGGCAAGCGUUGUCCGGAUUCAUUGGGCGUAAAGAGCUCGUAGGCGGUUCGAUAAGUCGGGUGUGAAACCUCCAGGCUCAACCUGGAGACGCCACCCGAUACUGUCGUGACUAGAGUCCAGUAGGGGAGCGUGGAAUUCCUGGUGUAGCGGUGAAGUGCGCAGAUAUCAGGAGGAACACCAGCGGCGAAGGCGGCGCUCUGGGCUGGAACUGACGCUGAGGAGCGAAAGCGUGGGGAGCGAACAGGAUUAGAUACCCUGGUAGUCCACGCCGUAAACGUUGGGUACUAGGUGUGGGGUCUUAUCAACGGAUUCCGUGCCGAAGCUAACGCAUUAAGUACCCCG
rnacentral:rRNA from 1 species